ensembl:lncRNA
CCAGAACGCUUCCCUGAGGCCAUACCCCAAACUGGCAGCCAAUCUCUCGCUCCAUAGCCGUCCCCACCUGGAUGUAACCAUGAAGAAACGAAGGGGUGGAGUUGGAAAAGGGACGAAGACAUUUGCCACUUAAUACCGGUGUCCACUCAGACUCGCAUGCACUGAAUAGGUCUCAUGAAAGCCAGCCACAGUCCCCCAGCGGGCAGGAGAGAGAAAGCUUCGGACUGAGAUCUGAAGGCCUGGCGUGGGGAAGGCCUCUGUCGUCGAGUGCGAGUAAUACGUGAAAAGGACAACAAGACCUUCCAUUCUGUUCGGAAAGGGAUCAUCUCCAAGGGGACCCACAAACACCGCAUAGGUGUGAUAUCCUGAAUCUCAGCUGGUGGUUCCUAUCGUUGAGGUUGCUCAACACUGGGCUGCUGGUCCUAGUAGAGUGUGCAUCAUUGUGGGAACAUGGAGAAAGGCUCAAUCUUUACAGCCUGACUACGGCGAUUUUCUCAGAGUCUAUGGCUGAGGACAAGAACUAUGGCACCGUGACACCUGUGAGGAGAAAGAUGACAACCUCGUGGGCCUUCCUUUUCAAUGGCCCCAUAUUGCAAUGUCCAACCAGCCCAAAACUCACUGGCUCCCCCUCACACGUACUCACACAACUCCAGACAGGACAGAUAUGUGGACUUACCUGGUAAGUCUCAAGUAGUGAGAAAGAAUUGAGACAGAAUAAACAUGUCCAUCUGAGGCCUAACGCUCCUCAUAGAAUGUGCUCAGGAAGGUGCAUGUGCAGCAAGGGAGUUCACACACCCUGCGCACACCUGAGUUGGGCGUGUGCAGUGCGGGUGAGGUUUUCCCGCCACUGAGGUAGACUCCUGGAACCGCACCAUCUCUGGAGGAUGAGAAAGGGGCUUGAAGACUAUAUUUUUUUCCUUCCAGGGCAGUCUUUCUUAUGCAUCCACGACCUGUGGUGAUAGGUAGUCCCAGGUUACCCUUAGUGGAGAAUGUGUCUCAGAAAGACAGUCAUGACAGAAAUAGAUAUUACGUUUUUUAAUACCUAUUUUUAUACAUGCUCUGAUGAACCAUUUCCUUCUCUGCUUCUGGGAUUUCUGUCAUGCUUACCAUGGCUUUACUCACCUCCAUGGAAUAAAUACAUACCUCUGUUUCCUUUUUUUGCUUGGAGCACUGAAC